rnacentral:rRNA from 1 species
UACGUAGGGUGCGAGCGUUAAUCGGAAUUACUGGGCGUAAAGCGUGCGCAGGCGGUCCGCUAAGACCGAUGUGAAAUCCCCGGGCUUAACCUGGGAAUUGCAUUUGUGACUGCCCGGCUAGAGUGUGUCAGAGGGGGGUAGAAAUUCCACGUGUAGCAGUGAAAUGCGUAGAGAUGUGGAGGAAUACCGAUGGCGAAGGCAGCCCCCUGGGAUAACGACUGACGCUCAUGCACGAAAGCGUGGGGAGCGAAACAAGGAUUAGAAACCCCUA